rnacentral:rRNA from 1 species
GACGAACCGUGCGAACGUUGUUCGGAAUCACUGGGCUUAAAGGGCGCGUAGGCGGGUUCGCAAGUCUGUGGUGAAAGCCUCCAGCUUAACUGGAGAAGUGCCGUGGAUACUGCGAAUCUUGAGGAGGGUAGGGGCGUCUGGAACGGUCGGUGGAGCGGUGAAAUGCGUCGAUAUCGACCGGAACUCCGGUGGCGAAGGCGAGGCGCUGGACCCUUUCUGACGCUGAGGCGCGAAAGCCAGGGGAGCAAACGGG